rnacentral:rRNA from 1 species
UACAGAGGGUGCAAGCGUUGUUCGGAAUUAAUGGGCGUAAAUAGCUCGUAGGUGGUUCGGUAAGUCGGAUGUGAAAUCUCCAGGCUCAACCUGGAGGGGUCAUUCGAUACUGCCGUGACUAGAGUUCGGUAGGGGAGUGUGGAAUUCCUGGUGGAGCGGUGAAAUGCGCAGAUAUCAGGAGGAACACCCGUAGCGAAGGCGGCACUCUGGGCCGAUACUGACACUGAGGAGCGAAAGCGUGGGGAGCGAACAGG